GCAAGUCGAGCGAGAAAGGUCAUUGGACUGAGUAUAGCGGCGGACGGGUGAGUAACGCGUAGGAAUCUAACUGGUAGUGGGGGAAAACUUGGGGAAACCCAAGCUAAUACCGCAUACGCCCUACGGGGGAAAGCGGGGGAUCUUCGGACCUCGCGCUAUCGGAUGAGCCUGCGUUGGAUUAGCUAGUUGGUGGGGUAAAGGCUCACCAAGGCGACGAUCCAUAGCUGGUCUGAGAGGAUGAUC
rnacentral:rRNA from 1 species